ensembl:snRNA U6 U6 spliceosomal RNA
AUGCUUGCUUCAACAGCACAUAUGCUAAAAUUGGAAGGAUACAGAGAUUAGCAUGGCAAGGGUGAUAUGCAAAUUCGUGAAGGAUUCCAUAUAAAA